rnacentral:rRNA from 1 species
CUAAGGUGGGAGAUAACCCCGGGAAACUGGGGAUAAUACCCCAUAAUCUAUGGAAGCUGGAAUGCUCUAUAGUUGAAAGAUUUAUCGCCUUAGGAUGGGUCUGCGGCCGAUUAGGUAGUUGUUGGGGUAACGGCCCAACAAGCCUUUGAUCGGUACGGGUUGUGGGAGCAAGAGCCCGGAGAUGGAUUCUGAGACACGAAUCCAGGCCCUACGGGGCGCAGCAGGCGCGAAAACUUUACAAUGCGGGAAACCGUGAUAAGGGAACUCCGAGUGCCCGUAAACGCGGGCUGUCCAUCUGCUUAAAAAACAGGUGAAGAAAGGGCCGGGCAAGACCGGUGCCAGCCGCCGCGGUAAUACCGGCGGCUCGAGUGGUGGCCACUAUUACUGGGCUUAAAGCGUCCGUAGCUUGGUUGUUAAGUCUCUUGGGAAAUCUGUCGGCUUAACCGACAGGCGUUUAAGGGAUACUGGCAAUCUAGGGACCGGGAGAGGUGAGAGGUACUUCAGGGGUAGGAGUGAAAUCCUGUAAUCCUUGGGGGACCACCUGUGGCGUAGGCGUCUCACCAGAACGGCUCCGACAGUGAGGGACGAAAGCUGGGGGAGCAAACCGGAUUAGAUACCCGGGUAGUCCCAGCCGUAAACGAUGCGCGUUAGGUGUAUCGGUGACCACGAGUCACCGAGGUGCCGAAGGGAAACCGUGAAACGUGCCGCCUGGGAAGUACGGUCGCAAGGCUGAAACUUAAAGGAAUUGGCGGGGGAGCACCACAACAGGUGGAGCCUGCGGUUUAAUCGGACUCAACGCCGGAAACCUCACCGGAUAAGACAGCGGGAUGAUAGCCAGGCUGAAGACUUUGCUUGACUAGCUGAGAGGAGGUGCAUGG